CUGAACUCAUUACCUUUCUUCUUCCAGAAUCAAAACCCACUGAACUCAUACAAGUCGCCGGAAAACGCAGACUCGUUGGUCCCCGUAGGAAGAAGAAACUUCAGGUUUUCCUUCUUUUCUUCCUCUCCUUUUUUUUUUCUCGCGAAAAUGCUAUUCCAUCGAUAUCGUGAUUGACUGAACUCAUUCAUGUAUGCUUCAAUUUUAAUAUCAUUUACCAUCUCUGUUGUCUCCUUCCUUGUUCCACCACCAACUUCCAUAAUGUUCAAUCC
rnacentral:lncRNA from 1 species